AUACUUACCUGGCAGGGGAGAUACCAUGGUCACGAAGGUGGUUUUCCCAGGGCAAGGCUUUUCCAUUGCACUCCGGAUGUGCUGACCCCUGUGAUUUCCCCCGAAACUCGACUGCAUAAUUUGUGGUAGUGGGGGACUGCAUUCGCACUUUCCCCUG